CUCAACAUCCUCUGCUGGAAGGCUUCCAGCCUCUCGUAGUCAUGGCCCCGACACACAUAUUCUUUGUUCUGCAAGAGGGACAAGCAUAAAUUAAGUCUCCUUAAAAUAUUUCAUCAGGAAGUUAUAAGUAGACUAUUCCACUGAUCUCUCAACAGAAAGAUGUCUCUGAUCCAUACACACGUAACAUUCAGUCCUACUGUCUUUUAAUUGCUUCUCAGACAACUGAAAAGGGACUGUUUUUUAAAUGGACUGUACUGAAACAUGUCAACCGAAACUUAAGACUGUCACCAGCUUGGCUGUUCUGCACUGGGAAAGCUGCUGUCAAAUAAGAGUUUACACCAGAUGGAUAAAAGUCCUGAGGAUUUCAUAGAACAGAGGGAGAUACAUGUUUAUCAGUUUACCAGUUAUCCUUAGAGAGAAGUCAUAACAAACUGUUCACAGAAAUCAUUAAUGAUUGCUGCACUGUCACAGCCAUACAAUCCACUUCUGAUCAUGUUGAUCGUCCUUCAGGAACUCCUCGGUCUAUAGCGCAGUAACGUGGAAAAGCCUUACUAAGAAUUCUCAGCGGCCACUUAGCAAAUUCCCCUUCAGCCCUAAAAGCACUUUCCUCUUGAACAAAAUUUCAUUUCUGCUAGUAAUGGAAAGCUUGCAUUUAGAUAUGCCUCUUAAGGCAUUAAACCUCUUGUGCAGAGUUCUUGGAUGCUUUUUUGAGCCACCUCAAACUCUGAACAGCAGAUACAGGAUUUCUAAAGUCCUCAGUGUCAUCAAGAUUGUAUUCCUGUGUCUCAACCCUGUUUACCACAAAACACAGUUCUCAUCGGUGGUAACGUCUCCUGAUGCAAGACCAAUCAAAGCAGGCAAAUUCCCUGAUUCUGGUGGUUUUAAUUCUCGUAACAAUAACAAGAACUACAGGGAGAUUUUUCACCUUCAUAAAACAAAGAAAGGAUCCCAGCAAACAAGAACAGUUCACCCUGUCCUAUAUCUUGCAUUUAGAAGCCGCAGUAUGUGCAAUAAUGUUUGGUUAGAUGCUCUGGAAAAAGGUUCUGGUGCACAGCUCUUGAUCUGGUAGCAAAAUCAAAGAGAAAGGAGCACCUCCCCAUCAUAAAACACAGCCAAGGAGUGCAGUUAUCUUUGGCUUUGCAUUUCAACUGUAUGGAACAGACCUCAUGUUCAAGCUGUGACAUAUGUCACACUGUAUGCAUCAGUCACAGCAACCGAUGAACUGGGAGAAAAACUGUAUGAUGAAUCUUGACAGUUCAGUCUGUAAUGCUCAAACUUUGCAGCUAUUAUUAAAUUUGGAGUGAGUCCAUGUUUAAAGGUGAA